rnacentral:rRNA from 1 species
UCUUCUGGGCGCAGCCUGAUGCAGCGACGCCGCGUGAGGGAUGACGGCCUUCGGGUUGUAAACCUCUUUCAGUAGGGAAGAAGCGAAAGUGACGGUACCUGCAGAAGAAGCACCGGCUAACUACGUGCCAGCAGCCGCGGUAAUACGUAGGGUGCGAGCGUUAUCCGGAAUUAUUGGGCGUAAAGAGCUCGUAGGCGGUUUGUCGCGUCUGUCGUGAAAGUCCGGGGCUUAACCCCGGAUCUGCGGUGGGUACGGGCAGACUAGAGUGCAGUAGGGGAGACUGGAAUUCCUGGUGUAGCGGUGGAAUGCGCAGAUAUCAGGAGGAACACCGAUGGCGAAGGCAGGUCUCUGGGCUGUAACUGACGCUGAGGAGCGAAAGCAUGGGGAGCGAACAGGAUUAGAUACCCUGGUAGUCCAUGCCGUAAACGUUGGGCACUAGGUGUGGGGACCAUUCCACGGUUUCCGCGCCGCAGCUAACGCAUUAAGUGCCCCGCCUGGGGAGUACGGCCGCAAGGCUAAAACUCAAAUGUUUUGGACGGGGAC